rnacentral:misc_RNA from 1 species
UCCGACUUAACGUCGGCAGUCCCUUUAGAGUGCCCAACUUAAUGCUGGCAACUAAAGGCAAGGGUUGCGCUCGUUGCGGGACUUAACCCAACAUCUCACGACACGAGCUGACGACAGCCAUGCAGCACCUAUCACCAGUGUCCCGAAGGAAAGGUAUAUCUCUAUACCGGUCACUGGGAUGUUAAACCCAGGUAAGGUUCUUCGCGUUGCAUCGAAUUAAACCACAUGCUCCACCGCUUGUGCGGGCCCCCGUCAAUUUCUUUGAGUUUUAAUCUUGCGACCGUACUUCCCAGGCGGAACACUUAACGCGUUAGCUGCGGCACUGAAGGGGUCAAUACCUCCAACACCAAGUGUUCAUCGUUUACGGCGUGGACUAC